CCCGACACUUGGCUCUUUCCCCUCCCCCUCCCUUAACUUCCUCUUCUUCCCCCGUUGGGCCCUCUGCCUCUCCGCACUCUCCUCCCCAGUUCGCAGAUUUCCGCCCACCUUCCGCCUCCCCGAGCCGCCGCGGCUAGCGGGGUGUUCUUUUCCCUCCCUCUGGUAGGAGUUGCUGAAGAUUUCUACCGCAAAGAGAUCGAAGUGGACUCUUCCCCCUCUGUGCUGGAAAUUCUGGACACCGCAGGAACUGAGCAGUUUGCCUCCAUGAGAGAUCUCUACAUCAAAAACGGCCAAGGUUUCAUCCUGGUUUAUAGCCUGGUUAAUCAACAGUCUUUCCAGGAUAUCAAGCCCAUGAGAGAUCAGAUUGUCAGAGUGAAGAGAUACGAAAAAGUCCCACUAAUCCUAGUAGGAAAUAAAGUGGAUCUGGAACCAGAAAGAGAGGUUAUGUCUUCAGAAGGCAGAGCCCUGGCUCAGGAAUGGGGCUGCCCUUUCAUGGAAACAUCGGCAAAAAGUAAAUCAAUGGUGGAUGAACUUUUUGCUGAGAUCGUCAGGCAAAUGAACUAUUCGUCCCUGCCCGAGAAGCAAGAUCAGUGUUGUACAACUUGCGUUGUCCAGUAAAAAAAGAACCUCAAUCAUGGCCAUACCGAGCAGAUAAAACUCAGAGGAAAUUUGCACAGAUGCUGCUUUGGAGAACUUUACAACCUGGGUUGCAGAACUGAGCCUUGGUAAACCUGUCUCUAUUACAGCAUGUUGCCAUACAUCUAAUUCAGUGCAUAAGGUCCUUGGCCUUCAAGAUCCAUCGACCUUAAACAGGAAUGCUUAGCACGUUUACCAUAUGUUUAAAAUCUAUUCUUUAUCAAUCAGUCCUUUUGUAGCUUUCUAAGUUCUUAUUGAUGGCUAAUAUGCAAGAAUUAAUUUUUAAUAUUUUAAUUGAUUUCUUUAAUCAGUUUCUCAACUUGUAUUUAUUAAAUACUCAAACUCAGUAUUACCUACUCAAUGCCUUUUAAAAGAAAGUUAUAAUGGAGAAAAAAAUUGAGCCUUAAACAAAUGGUUACUUCUGUAUAUUACCUCGCACCAGUGCUUCAUUCUAUUUGUAAAAUCUUUCUCCUUUAAAUGAUUGGUUAAUACUUUGAGACUUUGUUUACGUGUGGCAGUGUUGUAAAAAGAAACUAAAGAUCACGUUUUUACCCUGAUGGAUGGAAUAUCCCUUUUCUUCAAGUACAGUUUGUGAUGUGUUUUUGUAAUUAACAUGUUCUGAAUGUUCCAAUUGAUAUUUGAAAUUGACAGUAGAGCAUUUAGCUGAAGAGUUCAGCAUUUGAUUCCAUUAGGUUUUCACAUGUGUUAAUCUCAUUUACAGCAUCGAAUAGCAGCAGUAACAUUUUCCUUUCUGUGAAGUUCUAAAUUUAGUUAUGACCUAGUUAGCAAUGCCUUUGAAAAGGGAUAUUGUAUCCAUGGUAAAUUAAUUGUAUACCUAAACAGAGAUCGCUCAGCUUUGCCUGUCAGGCUUGUAAUUGACAUCUAGUAGACUUCUGCACAUGUAAAAUUGAAUUCAAAUAAAAUCAUAUACGCUUUCUAGUUCUUAAUAUUUGUCUUUCUGGAUAAUAGUUUAAAGCAAUAUUUGUUAAAGUUUUCUUGCACUAUCACAAUUGCUUUUUAGUUAUUUCUCAAGAAGCAUGUUCGUAGUAGAGACAAAAAUCUGUGUAACAGGAGAGGAUAGCGCCAAGUCUCUGGGCUUUUUUGUUUGUUUGUUUUGGGGAUUUUUUUUUUCCAAAUGUGCUUCUAAUAGCCAUUGCCUUCCAUGUUGUUUACCUAAUCAGCACAUUUUGUCUGAAUACUUGAACAUUUUAACAGUAAUACAGGUAUAGAAACAGAAAGGAAACUUGUAGAGUAAUCUUUUGGUUCAGUUUUAACAUCUUGACAACAAGCGCUUUUUCUAGCAACAACUUAAAAAUUUUGUAAGUUUGACAGUAUUUUCUUGUUGGGUUUUUAUUUGGUUUUAGUUGCGUGCUUUUAAUUUGCAGAAGUUAGUAACUGCAGCUCACCUACUGCACCAAAGUUCUCGAUUUUAGGAGCCCAGCUUUAGUCAUUUGAACAUGCUUCUAAAUAAAACAAAACAAAAAACCAAAACUAUACUUUUGAUCUAUAAUAAUAGCUCAAUAACUUUGUCAAGGAAAGCUCUAAUAUAUGCAGUGAUGGUUUAUGGAAGGGUGUGGCAAUUUUAAAUUUAUAUUGUGUGUGAUGUUCAAAUAAAGUGAUAUCUACAUUCAUGUGAUUUAUUGGUCAGCAUGACCAUUAAUUAUUAUGUAGAAAUUGAUUAAACUUUGAUUUCCUUUUUUAAAAUCGUGUUGCAUUUGAUUCCUGAUCAGAUUCCCUCAAAGUGAACCCCUUGAUCUGAGAUUUUGGAUUUUAUGGUGAGGUUGUAGGGUGGAGGCAGUUGAAACAUUGUUCCUUAUUUAUAAACCACUUGAAGUGAAUACCUAAUUUAAGUUUGCACUUUAAUACCAAACUUAAAAACCAAACACUCAGUACAGAGUAGGUUAAGUGGUCAUGGUUCAUCUUUAUUAGCUGUGUGAAAUUCUAAAGGAAUCAAAUAAUUCAUGAUGAUUUAAAAUUUUUCUGCAGAUGAUUUUUUUUUAUAUGCAGUGUUUCUUUCCUAUGGAUAGUCCCCUGCCCUCCCCUCCCCCCCCAGCCCCCAGCAUUGAUCUCAGCAGCAAAUUUAACUUGAAUUCACUUAGGAUCACAGGAAUCAGGGGAAAGUGAUUUAAAGGUGGUUUCUCCAGCACAUUUUAAGAAAAGGGACCAAAAGUUUUAGCUUCCUCAAUAGAUUGCAUGUCAAGUUGCUUAUUAGGAUAAUAAAUUAAUAUUAAAUGCAAUAUAUGUCUUGUCUUUACUAUGGCAUCUGUUUAGGAGUUGUUCAAAUCACUGCAGUAGGGCUCUGCAAAUAAAAUCAUGUAACCUGUUAAUGGAUCUAAUGUACUGUAACUUUAUCAAUGAAAGGUAAAAAUCUCAAAUAACAAGUACAAACAUUGAACAAUGACCUAUAAAGAUUUGUAAAAGUAAAAUUUUUCCAAUAGAUUUCAUUCUUGUCAUUUUGUAAGAUGACCCUGCAGUCCACCUGUUUGUAACUUUUUUAAUAAAAUAGACAUCUGUAUUACCA